rnacentral:rRNA from 1 species
AAUAGAUACCCGGGUAGUCCACGCCGUAAACGAUGAGUGCUAAGUGUUAGGGGGUUUCCGCCCCUUAGUGCUGCAGCUAACGCAUUAAGCACUCCGCCUGGGGAGUACGGUCGCAAGACUGAAACUCAAAGGAAUUGACGGGGGCCCGCACAAGCGGUGGAGCAUGUGGUUUAAUUCGAAGCAACGCGAAGAACCUUACCAGGUCUUGACAUCCCAUUGACCGCUAUGGAGACAUAGCUUUCCCUUCGGGGACAGUGGUGACAGGUGGUGCAUGGUUGUCGUCAGCUCGUGUCGUGAGAUGUUGGGUUAAGUCCCGCAACGAGCGCAACCCUUGUUCUUAGUUGCCAUCAUUUAGUUGGGCACUCUAAGGAGACUGCCGGUGACAAACCGGAGGAAGGUGGGGAUGACGUCAAAUCAUCAUGCCCCUUAUGACCUGGGCUACACACGUGCUACAAUGGACGGUACAAACGGUUGCCAACCCGCGAGGGGGAGCUAAUCCGAUAAAACCGUUCUCAGUUCGGAUUGUAGGCUGCAACUCGCCUAC